rnacentral:misc_RNA from 1 species
UCUCCGUAGGUGAACCUGCGGAGGGAUCAUUGAAGAGUUAGGGCCUCCGGCCCGACCUCCAACCCUUUGUACUUGAUACCAUGUUGCCUCGGGGGCGACCCUGCCGUCCGCGGUCUGGGGCCUCCGGUGGACCACUCAACCCUGCAUCUUUGCGUCUGAGUAAAUUUGUAAAUUAAACAAAACUUUCAACAACGGAUCUCUUGGUUCUG